AAGCGCUCGCGACCAGACUUGACUAUUCAGUUCAGCGGUUCAUUUGGACCGUGUACUUCUGUUGGUCAGGCCAGCAUCAGUUCGGACGGUUGGAUAAAAGCGUUGGGAACGUAGCUCCUCGGAGUGUUAUAGCCCUUUGCAGAAUACAGCCAGACCGGACUGAGGUCAGCCAUUUGUAGGAUGCUGGCGUAAUGGUUGCUAGCGG
rnacentral:rRNA from 1 species